rnacentral:rRNA from 1 species
UACGUAGGGUCCAAGCGUUAUCCGGAAUUACUGGGCGUAAAGAGUUGCGUAGGUGGCAUAGUAAGUAGAUAGUGAAAGCGUGUGGCUCAACCAUACAUCCAUUAUCUAAACUGCUAAGCUAGAAGACGAGAGAGGUAGAUGGAAUUCCUGAUGUAGGGGUAAUAUCCGUAGAUAUCAGGAGGAACACCGAUGGCGUAAGCAGUCUACUGGCUCGUUCUUGACACUAAGGCACGAAAGCGUGGGGAGCAAACAGG